GAUGAACGCUGGCGGUAUGCCUAACACAUGCAAGUCGUACGAGAGUUUUUAACUCUAGUGGCGGACGGGUGAGUAACACGUGAGAAUUUGCCUUUAGGAGGGGGACAACAAUCGGAAACGAAUGCUAAUACCCCAUAUGCUUUCGAGUGAAAUGGAUUUUAUCCGCCUAGAGAGAAGCUCGCGGCUGAUUAGCUUGUUGGUAAGGUAAGAGCUUACCAAGGCGACGAUCAGUAUCUGGUUUGAGAGGACGAUCAGACACACUGGAACUGAGACACGGUCCAGACUCCUACGGGAGGCAGCAGUGGGGAAUUUUCCGCAAUGGGCGAAAGCCUGACGGAGCAAUACCGCGUGAGGGAAGACUGCCUAUGGGUUGUAAACCUCUUUUUCUAGGGAGGAAUAAAUGACGUGUACCUGAAGAAUAAGCAUCGGCUAACUCCGUG
rnacentral:rRNA from 1 species